GCUCGGCACCAUGCAGGAACAUGCUGUAACCAAAUGCUAUCAACAAUAACAUAGUUAAUAAAGAAGGAUUUGGCACCUGGUGUUGCACAAGUAACAGGCAACUGGAAGGAAAACACUUAAAUAAGAAGAGGGCUAUUCUUGAAAAAAGAUCAACAAAUAGAAUGCGGCCAGAUUUUACUAUGCUGUUCAGCAGGACCCAAGACUGAGGCGGGAGAUGGAAGCCAGGAAUGCACAUGUUGCGGUAGUUGUCAAUGACGUUAUAGCACUGGAGUAGCUAAAUGAAAGAGAUUCAAAGGUCAAACUUUGUGCGCCAAGCCUUGGCGAAAAGGAUUGUUACUGAUGUCUAAAAU